CCUACGGGGUGCAGCAGUGGGGAAUAUUGGACAAUGGGCGAAAGCCUGUUCCAGCCAUGCCGCGUGUGUGAAGAAGGCCUUCGGGUUGUAAAGCACUUUCAGUGGGGAAGAAAGCCUUGGGGCUAAUACCCUCGAGGAAGGACAUCACCCACAGAAGAAGCACCGGCUAACUCCGUGCCAGCAGCCGCGGUAAUACGGAGGGUGCGAGCGUUAAUCGGAAUUACUGGGCGUAAAGCGCGCGUAGGCGGUCUGAUAAGCCGGUUGUGAAAGCCCCGGGCUCAACCUGGGAACGGCAUCCGGAACUGUCAGGCUAGAGUGCAGGAGAGGAAGGUAGAAUUCCCGGUGUAGCGGUGAAAUGCGUAGAGAUCGGGAGGAAUACCAGUGGCGAAGGCGGCCUUCUGGACUGACACUGACGCUGAGGUGCGAAAGCGUGGGUAGCAAACAGGAUUAGAUACCCCAGUAGUC
rnacentral:rRNA from 1 species